rnacentral:piRNA from 1 species
UCUUUCUUCCUGACUUUGACGGUGG